AUGCUCGCUUCGGCAGCACAUAUACUAAAACUGGAACAAUACAGAGAAGAUUAGCAUGGCCCCUGUGCAAGGAUGACACACAAAUUAGUGGAGGUGAUGGAAUUACA
rnacentral:snRNA from 1 species